AGCUCUCCAAAUGGUAGGUAGGCUGGAUGGGCCUAAAAAAAAUAAAAUUUAGUUGUGUCCCGGGUGACUGUAGCUCUGGUUAUGCCACUGGAUGUCCCAUGAGCUUCCACACAUGUAAAGCCUUAGACUUGCCUAUUUGUGCACAUGCAAGUAAAUUGUCAAUUAUGUGCAUAAUGCUAAAAGAUUAGUGCCUUGGAACGACACUGGCUUAACCUGUUAAACUGUUUUAGCUUGGGUUGCCACGUACUCUUGUCCUGCCUAGCGAUUGUGCGGCUCCCAGUCUUUUUCAGACCGGAGAAGCUGGGCGAUGAUGUAGGCUAUAAGUCAUUAGCUGAGAGCAUCAGCUGAG